UACGGGGGGGGCAAGCGUUGUUCGGAAUUACUGGGCGUAAAGGGCUCGUAGGUGGCCACCUAAGUCAGACGUGAAAUCCCUCGGCUUAACCGGGGAACUGCGUCUGAUACUGGAUGGCUAGAGUUUGGGAGAGGGAUGCGGAAUUCCAGGUGUAGCGGUGAAAUGCGUAGAUAUCUGGAGGAACACCGGUGGCGAAGGCGGCAUCCUGGACCAACACUGACGCUGAGGAGCGAAAGCCAGGGGAGCAAACGGG
rnacentral:rRNA from 1 species